AGCUGUGCUUUAAUCAGUCUUGAAUUCCACAUCUAGGUCUAUAGUGGAAAUGCUAAGUCACAGCCUGAAGCAGUGAUUGAAGGCAGGGCCAACCCAGGGGAGCUCAGGUGCAUGCAAUGAAUCUGAUGAGUGGAAGGGCUGGAGCCAGGAUCUACCACUUCCCAGACCUCAUUUAAGCGCUGACAGUGAAGGCAAAGGUACCUUGCUGGAGGUCACUGCAUAUCUGAGGCCUUCUCAAGGUAAGCAGAUUUUUUUUCCUUUUGUUUCUAUGUCUGCAGCUGCUGCAUUUGAGCAAGUCUUCACUUGCUUCAGCCUGGAGUUUUGCUACUCUGCUGUUGUUGCUGUGCUUUCCAUUGCAUUACAGUACAUUUUCAGAAGCUUUUUCCAACAUGUUCUCCUAUUCCUGCCAUUUCUGGGGCUCAGAAUUGCUCCUGGAGCUUAGUGGGAGCACUUGUUUUGUAACCUGUUCCCAAACUUCCAUGCCAAGGUGCAGCUAGUGUGCUGAGGAAGGCACUGAAGUGCCAUUACAGCUUUCUUAUCCAGGGAGUUGUCAGCAGGGAGGCAGCUGGAAUAUCCCUUUGGUUUAAGAUACAGCUCUGUACAUGCUGUUGUGCUGUUCCUUCGUUUACUUCAGUAACAAAAUGUGAUAAGGAAAGGGAUUAGCAUCUGGGAGGAACUUGAGGCAGGAUGUGACAGACCAAAGUGGAGCAUCUUCUGGGAGCUGAGCUGCAGAAUGAUUGUUGCCUAGAGGGAUCUUUUAGGAUUGUAUCCUUGUUUUCUUUGGCAGAAGGGCUCUCUUGAAAUUGAAUUUCCUGUUAUUUUCACUUCUUCCUUUAUCCAUCAGCACAAAUUAGCUUUUCUUCAUUCUUCCUCGGCUUUCCCCACCACACACACCCUUGGCCAGCAUAUUCAUCUGGAUUCUGCCAUUUACUAACUGAUCUGAUUAGAGUUAAUUACUAAUUAUUUGUAUUACUACAACCCUGAUGUUAUAUGCACCAUGGGAAUAUAAUUUAAUUACAGUGUAAUAUCAAUCAGAUGCGUAAAUUAAAAUGUUCACGUUCAGUAUGAGCCCAUUUUCUAUUUCCAGUUGUCUGAGCUGCCAGGCUUGGAGGAGAACAAAGCUAUUGCUCCAGGCUGCCCAGCAGUGAAGUAUGGGCACUGUUCCAGAUCAGGUGGAGGAAUGGGACUCACAGUUCCCAAGUGUGGUUAUCUUUCAGAAGAAUUCUUUCUGAAGGGUUUUUCACAAGAAAAGCUGCAACUGUUUGUCAUAUGAGCUGUACAAGAUCUAGCAACAAACAGUUUCUGUGAUUCUAUGAUUUUUAGUUUAACUACUUGUUCUGUGAAGAACCACCACCCUGUGUUCACUCUGACUUCAGAUGGCUAAAAGUCUUUAUCAGAAUUAGAAAUGCAAGCCUUUAUGUCCUUUUCUUGCCAUUUCUCUUCAUAUGUCUGUAUUGUGUUUCUUCAGCUAUUCUUUUUCCCAGCUGAAGAAAUUUAGUCUAAUUAUCUUAUUUUUGUGUAUAAGCUGGUCUAUAAUUUUAUCUCCUUUCUAGACCAUUUUCAGAGAUGAGGCAAACUUGCAGGCACUACUUAAGCUAAUGGGGCACAGCAUGGACACAAAUGUUGCAUAGAAGAUGGUGAGCCCUGGGGCAGCCCAGGUAGUUCUAGUGCUUCUGAAACCCAUUCUCACUCUGUGACUUGGAAAGCCAUGGAUGUUGGUACCUCCAUGGAGCCAAUUACACAAUUCAUGCCAAUUGUGCGUGAACUAAGUAUACAGUAGACUUGCGUGAUGUGAUUAUCUUUGAACUUAUCGUACAGAGUCAUCUCAGAAUGCAGAAUUUUCUUCCCCAGACCUUCUCAAGUACAGAAGAUUAGUAUUAGUAGCAUUCCAGUUUUCUGAUUUUUCUACAAGAACUGGCAAAUGCUUGUUCCUAGUCAGAGGACCCAUCUCUUUCAGCCUUUUGCAGCCACUCCCACUGGGAGAUGACUCACUACCAUUGCCAGAAAGUGAACUGAUGUAUGUCAACCAGAUGCCUCCUCUUGGUUGUUGAUCCACUCUCUUCUGCACAGUUCAGAUGGGGAUUAUCUCCAGCCAUUGUGACCUGACUUCCCUGGGUCUGCUCCCAAACACUACUUACUGCUAAUUUUCCUAAUGCUUGUUGUCUUUCCACACAACCAGGGUUACUGCAGAUUCCCUUGGGAAACAGUUUUCCUCCUCUACUUCUCACUGGUGCCUCUUCCCAAGGGAGGAUCCUAUCUCUAUCACCCUAUGGGAAUAGCUGGACAUAGGCAACGCAAGCCCCAAGCCUUAGUUACUGCCUCCUUUAGCAGAGGCAAAAUCCUAAUUUCCUUUCCAGGUAUAGGAGAGUGGUUGCACAUGGAACAUCAAUUUCAGAGUAGCCACUGUUGCUGAAAGGUCUAGGGAAGCUGUUGCCCAUGGAUAAUAAAUUAAAUUAAUCUUCCCCAGCUCGAGUCUGUUUUGCCCUUAAUGGUAAUCAAUGACUGGUCAUCCUUUCUUUAUCCUGAUCUAUAGAAAAGGUUUUAUAGGAUCACUUGAGUUGGAAGGGACCUUAAUGCCUGUCUUGUCCAAUCCCCCUGCAGUGAACAGGGACAUCCACAGCUUGAUCAGAGAUAGUGUGGUUCCAGUGGCUAAGCUUUGAAAGAAAUUUAAUGCUUCUGGAGGAAGUGUUGUAAAAGCACUAUGCUGGGUGGUUUUAUAGAUGCCACUCCAGAUACUGGGGUUCUCACAGAUUUGCUGUCAUGUCUCUUUAUCCAGCCAAUAUCUCAGGUAGCUAUAGAAAACAGUGAAGGACAUGUUUAGAUACCUGAGGCAUUCCUUCAUGUCAGCCAAUUCAUGCUGCCAAUGUGAUUUCAGCAACAGGAGAAAAGAAAACUACACCAGGUGGUAUCAAAACUGCUGGGAAAAGGCCUGAGCAAGUCAUCUGACUUAAUGACAUUUGCUUGGAAACAGCUCUGCACAGUGCUGUAAUCACCCAGAUGGCACAGCUGGCUUUACUGCUCCUGGAACAAAGAGGUGUGAUAUUCACUACCAGCAAUGUUUAGGGCACAGCACUGUGACCCUGUGCUGCAGAAUGGGACCUUGCCCCUGUUUCCUCCACUCUGGUUCCUCUCUGCAUAGAGUUUGGGAUAUACCAGGCAGUCCCCACCAGCCCUUCUUGCUUAUAACUAUAGCUUUCCUGGAUAGUCAGACUAGAAAAUCUUCAUCUGUAUUUUCAUGCUGAACUUCCAGAGGAUCCCUGUCAAUAUGUGGGGCUGGACCCACAAACAGGUGAGCAACAAGUAUUGUAUGCUUGCAGAGCAUGUUUGCAUCCAACUGGCAAUGGCUGAAUUUCAAUUAAAUGCCCAUGGGCAACUUUGUGUUAAGCAAACAUUUUUCUAUGGGUUGGUUUACUUGGGAAUGCAGUGUGAUUCAUCUCCCACGUGGGAGCCAAGGACAUGGGCUGACCUAGUUUGAAUGCUGGCUGCUCUCUCUCCAGACCACUCCAAUUCCCCUAGAACUUAACUUUUGUUUACUGGGAUGGCAUCUAACCCAGGGAUGCCUUGAUUAAUUUUCCUCAAAAUUAAAAAAUAAUGUAUAUAUCUAUCUUGCUGUCACAGAAGCCUUUAGUAUAAUUAAAAACGCAUCCUCCACAACAUGAGCAGUAAGGAAGAAAAAAUAUUGCCCAGUUCCUGUGGUUAUAUCAGCCCUUUAAGAGUGCUGAGUUGGUUUCCUCUCUGGUCUAUGCAGGUAGGGAACAAAGAGAGCAGAGAGCUGAGAGCCCUGGGGAAAGGCAACAGGGUGGCUAGGGGGCCAACAAAUUACAGGUCACAGCAAACAGGAGUCUUCAGCAACUCUACCAUCUCUUAGGAGGACACAUGAUGGAUUAAAAUCUUAUUCUUGUGACAAAGAUUGUAAGGAGAGCAGAAAAUGGUAUUGCAUGAAUCCAUUCCUCUGACAAGGGUUGUGAUAAAAAAUACAAGAGCUUUUGCUGUCUUGGCACUGCAGAUCUGUCCUCCUUGUUCUUGUCAGAAUUUAUGAAGAGAAAGAAAAUAACACUUGCAUCUUCUUUGGAGCAAGACAGAUUUCUGGUUUGUUUUGCCAUGAACAAAAUGUAAAUACCUGCAGAUUGCUUCCCCCAGAACUGUGCAAAGGCUCCUUCAGAGUGCCUGCAAGCCACUGAUAUAGCAAAGACAAAGCAAGAAGACUCCAAACAGAGCAUAUGUAGUUAUUGAGCUGAGCUUUGUUUGCUGGAGGCGCCCCUUUUGGAUUGUUUUGUGAUGUCAUAAAAUCCUAUGAACUCAGGAAUGAUGUAGUCUUUUCUUGUCCAAGUGGAUGGUGGAGCUGGUGUCUCUCUUGCUGUCUCUGCUGUCCUCCCACUAUCACAGCACUACAGACCAUAGGCACAGCACUCAGUGCUCAGCCAGGAGGCAACGAGGUUGAUGUCCCCCAAGAUGAAGGACUGCUCUGCAGUCCCAGCUCAAGUCCAACACUGAAGCAGAGGUCUGCAGUUAGAAGAGACUUGUCCAAUGAGUGUCCUAGUACUGCAGGGGAGAGGUGCUCAGGCUGUCCAAAGAAAAACAAAAAGACACAGGGAAAUGAAGUUAUUGAGGAUAAAGUUUGGAGUGAAGAUCAGCAAACAGUAAAUAUUGAACAAAAUAAGUGCAUUUUGGCAAAGGAACUGUCAAAAUUUCCUUUUACAGUUCUUCUAAAGAAAUAAAUUGAUGUUUUUGCAUCCUUA